rnacentral:tRNA from 1 species
GGAGGGGAGAGCUCAUUGGUAGAGUGCGUGCUCAGCAUGCACGAGGUCCUAGGUUCAAUCCCCAGUCCUUCCU